rnacentral:rRNA from 1 species
AACCUUUAGCCAAACAAAUAUUAAAGGCAACGCCUGCCCAGUGAACAAUUAAACGGCCGCGGUACCCUAACCGUGCAAAGGUAGCGUAAUCAUUUGUCUACUAAUUAUAGACCUGUAUGAAAGGCAAAAUGAGGGUUUAGCUGUCUCUUAUAAUAAAUCAAUUAAACUGAUCUCCUAGUACAAAAGCUAGGAUUCCAACAUAAGACCAGAAGACCCUGUGAAGCUUAAACUAAACUAUUAAAACAUAUAAUAGCUACUUUCGGUUGGGGCGACCUUGGAAAAAAAAAGAACUUCCAAACACAAUGACUUAAACCAUACUAACAGGCCAACAAGCCACUAAAAGACCCAGUAAAACUGAUAAAUGAACCAAGUUACUCCAGGGAUAACAGCGCAAUCUUCUUCAAGAGCCCAUAUCAAAAAGAAGGUUUACGACCUCGAUGUUGGAUCAGGACAUCCUAAUGGUGCAGCCGCUAUUAAGGGUUCGUUUGUUCAACGAUUAACAGUCCU